AACCUGCCUUGUAGCGGGGGAUAACUAUUGGAAACGAUAGCUAAUACCGCAUAACAAUGGAUGACACAUGUCAUUUAUUUGAAAGGGGCAAUUGCUCCACUACAAGAUGGACCUGCGUUGUAUUAGCUAGUAGGUGAGGUAACGGCUCACCUAGGCGACGAUACAUAGCCGACCUGAGAGGGUGAUCGGCCACACUGGGACUGAGACACGGCCCAGACUCCUACGGGAGGCAGCAGUAGGGAAUCUUCGGCAAUGGGGGCAACCCUGACCGAGCAACGCCGCGUGAGUGAAGAAGGUUUUCGGAUCGUAAAGCUCUGUUGUAAGUCAAGAACGAGUGUGAGAGUGGAAAGUUCACACUGUGACGGUAGCUUACCAGAAAGGGACGGCUAACUACGUGCCAGCAGCCGCGGUAAUACGUAGGUCCCGAGCGUUGUCCGGAUUUAUUGGGCGUAAAGCGAGCGCAGGCGGUUUGAUAAGUCUGAAGUUAAAGGCUGUGGCUCAACCAUAGUUCGCUUUGGAAACUGUCAAACUUGAGUGCAGAAGGGGAGAGUGGAAUUCCAUGUGUAGCGGUGAAAUGCGUAGAUAUAUGGAGGAACACCGGUGGCGAAAGCGGCUCUCUGGUCUGUAACUGACGCUGAGGCUCGAAAGCGUGGGGAGCGAACAGGAUUAGAUACCCUGGUAGUCCACGCCGUAAACGAUGAGUGCUAGGUGUUGGAUCCUUUCCGGGAUUCAGUGCCGCAGCUAACGCAUUAAGCACUCCG
rnacentral:rRNA from 1 species